UGUGAGGCAGGUGCUGCAUGGCUGUCGUCAGCUCGUGUUGUGAAAUGUUGGGUUAAGUCCCGCAACGAGCGCAACCCUUAUCCUUUGUUGCCAGCGGUCCGGCCGGGAACUCAAAGGAGACUGCCAGUGAUAAACUGGAGGAAGGUGGGGAUGACGUCAAGUCAUCAUGGCCCUUACGACCAGGGCUACACACGUGCUACAAUGGCGCAUACAAAGAGAAGCGACCUCGCGAGAGCAAGCGGACCUCAUAAAGUGCGUCGUAGUCCGGAUUGGAGUCUGCAACUCGACUCCAUGAAGUCGGAAUCGCUAGUAAUCGUGGAUCAGAAUGCCACGGUGAAUACGUUCCCGGGCCUUGUACACACCGCCCGUCACACCAUGGGAGUGGGUUGCAAAAGAAGUAGGUAGCUUAACCUUCGGGAGGGCGCUUACCACUUUGUGAUUCAUGACUGGGGUGAAGUCGUAACAAGGUAACCGUAGGGGAACCUGCGGUUGGAUCACCUC
rnacentral:rRNA from 1 species